AGUAGUUGAUCAUGGCUCGAGGACGACGCUGGCGGCGUGCCUAACACAUGCAAGUCGAACGAAGCGCAGCGAUGCGCUUAGUGGCGGACGGGUGAGUAACGCGUGAGCAACCUGCCCUAUACUACGGGAUAACACGGGGAAACUUGUGCUAAUACCGUAUGUGACUACGAUCGGGCAUCCGAUAGUGGUAAAAGAAUUUCGGUAUAGGAGGGGCUCGCGUCCCAUUAGUUAGUUGGUAGGGUAACGGCCUACCAAGACAGCGAUGGGUAGCCGACCUGAGAGGGUGAUCGGCCACACUGGAACUGAGAUACGGUCCAGACUCCUACGGGAGGCAGCAGUGGGGAAUAUUGGGCAAUGGAGGCAACUCUGAACCCCCAGCAACGCCGCGUGAAUGAUGAAGGUCUUCGGAUUGUAAAGUUCUUUAAUUGGGGACGAAUAAAUGACGGUACCCAAAGAAUAAGCCACGACUAACUACGUGCCAGCAGCAGC
rnacentral:rRNA from 1 species